GAAUGUGAGGGCGAUCUGGCUAUGACAUCUGUCACCCCAUUGAUCGCCAGGGUUGAUUGGGCUGGGCUGGCUGGCUAGGUGAGUGUACCCUUCCUCUCUCCAUGAGUGUCCUUCCAGAAGAACGGCCUUCCCCCAAUAGAGACCAACCUGUCUUCCCGUCCCCUGCUAGACCCUCCAAAACAGGCUCUCAAGAAAUAAAGUCCUCCAACGUUGACUAGCUACUACUUCAGAUCCAACCCACUCUGUAGUG
rnacentral:snRNA from 1 species